UACGUAGGGUGCAAGCGUUGUCCGGAAUUAUUGGGCGUAAAGAGCUCGUAGGCGAUUUGUCGCGUCGGCCGUGAAAACUUGGGGCUUAACUCCAAGCUUGCGGUCGAUACGGGCAGACUAGAGUGCUGUAGGGGAGACUGGAAUUCCUGGUGUAGCGGUGAAAUGCGCAGAUAUCAGGAGGAACACCGGUGGCGAAGGCGGGUCUCUGGGCAGUAACUGACGCUGAGGAGCGAAAGCGUGGGGAGCAAACAGG
rnacentral:rRNA from 1 species